ensembl:snoRNA SNORA70 Small nucleolar RNA SNORA70
AUCCAGCCAAUUAAGCUGACCAUGCUCUUUUCCCUGUGGGGUCCGUUACGCAAUGGCUACAAGCAGCAGUCUGUUGGCAGUGUAUGAAGACUGUUGACUCAUACAUGUUGCCCUAAGAGGCAUAGAGACAACA